rnacentral:rRNA from 1 species
UGAGGAACAUGACCUUCGGCGGGGGAGUAGCCGGCCCAACGGCCGGGUAAUACCGCGUACGACCACAUGGGGACAUCCCCGAGUGGUGAAAGCAGCAAUGCGCCGAUGGAGUGCCUCGCGGCCUAUCAGCUAGUUGGUGAGGUAACGGCUCACCAAGGCGACGACGGGUAGCUGGUCUGAGAGGAUGGCCAGCCACAUUGGGACUGAGACACGGCCCAGACUCCUAGGGAGG